rnacentral:tRNA from 1 species
AGCGAUAUAGUUCAAUCGGUAGAACCUCCCCAUUUACGGCUGAGGAAUGAGAGUUCGAGUCUCUCUGUCGCUG